rnacentral:rRNA from 1 species
UACGAAGGGUGCAAGCGUUACUCGGAAUUACUGGGCGUAAAGGGUGCGUAGGCGGUUUUUUAAGUCUGUCGUGAAAUCCCCGGGCUCAACCUGGGAAUGGCGAUGGAUACUGGGCAGCUAGAGUGUGUCAGAGGAUGGUGGAAUUCCCGGUGUAGCGGUGAAAUGCGUAGAGAUCGGGAGGAACAUCAGUGGCGAAGGCGGCCAUCUGGGACAACACUGACGCUGAAGCACGAAAGCGUGGGGAGCAAACAGG